AUUCUCUUCCCUGCACAGGAAGAAAUUUCGGGUUCUUUCCAAAAAGCGAAACAUUUGCCAAAACACAAGCAAAGCACACCUACUCAUAACGAAUGUUUGCUCUGGCCUCCAACCCCAAGGCUUUACUUGUUUCUUCACUCUAUCACUGCUUUCUUUAGCAUUCUCCAUCUUUUUCUUAUUUUCAGUGACCACACACACCCCGCCUGCGC
rnacentral:misc_RNA from 1 species